AGCUUCAGUAGCGUAUAUUAAAGUUGUUGCAGUUAAAAAGCUCGUAGUCGCAUUUCUGGCGAGAGGAUCCGGUCCGACCUUUUGGUGGGUUCUUGGGUCUCUUUCGCCAUCCUUGAGUGGUCCGUUCUGGCAUUAGGUUGUCGGAGCGUCAGCCGCUCAUCGUUUACUGUGAGAAAAUUAGAGUGUUCAAAGCAGGCUUAUGCCGUUGAAUAUAUUAGCAUGGAAUAAUAAGAUAGGACCUCGGUACUAUUUUGUGGUUUUGCGCACCAAGGUAAUGAUGAACAGGGACAGUUGGGGGUAUUUGUAUUUCGUUGUCAGAGGUGAAAUUCUUAGAUUUACGAAAGACAAACUACUGCGAAAGCAUUUACCAAGGAUGUUUUCA
rnacentral:rRNA from 1 species